rnacentral:rRNA from 1 species
UACGUAGGGGGCAAGCGUUGUCCGGAUUUAUUGGGCGUAAAGAGCGUGUAGGCGGCCAGAUAGGUCUGUUGUGAAAACUCGAGGCUCAACCUCGAGACGCCGAUGGAAACCAUUUGGCUAGAGUCCGGGAGAGGAGAGUGGAAUUCCUGGUGUAGCGGUGAAAUGCGCAGAUAUCAGGAAGAACACCCGUGGCUAAGGCGGCUCUCUAGUACGGUACUGACGCUGAGACGCGAAAGCGUGGGGAGCGAACAGG